UACGUAGGAGGCAAGCGUUGUCCGGAAUCACUGGGUGUAAAGGGUGCGCAGGCGGGGAAGUAAGUCAAUGGUGAAAUCUCACGGCUCAACCGUGAAACUGCCAUUGAUACUUCUUCUCUUGAGUUCGGGAGAGGGUGGUGGAAUUCUUGGUGUAGCGGUGAAAUGCGUAGAUAUCAAGAAGAACACCAGUGGCGAAGGCGGCCACCUGGCCCGUAACUGGCGCUCAUGCACGAAAGCGUGGGGAUCAAACAGG
rnacentral:rRNA from 1 species